CUUUGCAAGUGUGGAUGCCCAGAUGAGGGAUGCCUCAAGGUCACGCAGGACGUGAGGCCGCUGAGGACCGCACAGGGGAGCGGGCGGCGGCAUCGCGAGGACUGACCACUGGGUGGCACUGUUGCUCCAUGGAGAGCUGCCAACGGCGUCCCCGGGGACCCGGCCACGUUGAGCACAAAAGGCAGAGGAGCCUGGCAACCAUGUCCCAAGUUGGAAGGAAGCUCUGAGAACCCUGCUCCCCAGAAAUCCUGAGCAAAGGCUGGCUGGCCUACAGGAGCAGUCUAGAGUAAGAGCUGUUUCCUGGCAGAGGAUCAAGUAUCCAGGUCACAUUGAAGAGACAUGUGAGGACUCCAAUGGAGAACAAUUUGAGAGUGAGAAACCAGUUCUGGAGGCCAGGAAGUUCAAGAUCAAGGUGUUGGCAAGUUCAGUGUCUGCUGAGGACCUGAUCUCUCUUCUUUCAAGAUGGCAUCUUGUUGCUCUUCCCUCCAGAGAGUAGAAAUGCUGGAACCUCACAUGGAGGAAAAAAUGAAAAGGACCAAUGCUAGUUCCCUUCAGCCUUUUUAUGAACUCACUAAUUCCCAUUGAGGGCUCCACAUACAUGACUUAAUCACCUCCUAAAUGCCUGACUUCCUAAUACUCUCAUUUUGAAGAUUAAGUUUCAACAUAUGAAUUUGGGGGUCAUAUUCAGAACAUAGCACUUAUGAUACUAUCUCAAAUCAUAGACUGCUUUCUCGGUGGGCAUCUAUCUCAGUUUCUUUUCUGUUGUUAUUACAGAGUACCUGAGCCUGAGUAAUUUAUAAAGAAAAUACAUUUAUUUUGGCUCAUGGCUCUAUAGGCUGGGAAGUCCAAGAUUGGGCGGUUACAUCUGGUUGGCUCCUGGUGCGGGCCUCCUGCCGCAUCAUAACAAGGUAGAGAAGUGAAAGGGAAGGUGGGCUUGUAGGAAGGGGGCAAAGCAUGAAGGGCAGGCUUGCUUUAUAGAAACUGGGACACAGCACCCCACAGGAUGAGUGUAUAAAGGCUAGACAGACAAGGGGAUUGUUGUGUUGAACCUGAAAAGUCCCCUCACCUGGCAAUGCUCUCUGUUCCCUGUGAGAAGAAGGGGUUUCUUUUCUUCUGGGAUGAUUCAUCCCUUCACCUGUGGCCUUCCCUAGAGCCCAUCCUUGUGCCAUUCUGCUCUCCAGGCACAUCUCUCUCAGAUGAAUUCCCUCUUCCCUCUUCCUCUGGCCCCUCCUGUUUAUUUAUCUGUUUCCUCACCACUGUGUAAUCAGGUAGGCCCCACUGCUGUGACCUCUGGAAUAAUGAUUGAAUCUGCCCUAUCCUCUCCACAGUGAUGCCUGGGACCCAGCUGAGAUCUCCAUCAUCUCUCAAAACAACUGUGCACUGACCUCCUGACCUAAGCCCAGCCUCUGCCCACUCAGACUGACCUUCACGCAGCUGCACAAUGCUGCAUUUGGAAGCCGGACCUGACCACAUUCGUUUCCCUCUGUUGAGAUUCAUGUUCUGGAGAAAUGAAAAUGCUGUCUCAGUGGAAUGUUGAUUAGCUGGAGUGGAGACCCAAGAUCUCUGUCCAGGCAGGGCCAUCAACUAGAGGUGGCCCUGUGAUUGAUGAGUGACCAGCCAUGUGUGGAGAAAAGCAAUGUGAACAACUUCUGACUUCGCUGUUAAAGAAAAUUGGUCUGUCCCCCAUUUCCUUGCAUUCCCAUUCUUACUGGCUGAAAUUCAAAGCUGAUAAAUGGAGCUAGAGCAGAUAGCUGGGAAAAUGAGUUGAGGGUCUUACAUUAAGACUUGCCAGCAAGAAGAAGAAUUUUUCCAGGGUUCCUGACACCGCCAAAUUGUUCGAUCAGCUCUGAACUCUAUACUGAGAUUCUUUAAGUAUGAGAGACAUGAACUUUGACUGGCUUAAGUGAGCUAUUGAGGUCUCUUUGCUAUUGUGACCUAACUCAGGGGUCAGCAAAUAACACUCUGUGCGCAAAAUCUGACUACGAUCUGUUUUUGUAACUAAAUAAAAUUUCACUGAAACACACCCAUGCUCAUUUAUUUAGGUAUGGCUGCUUUCAUGAUACCAUGGCACAUUUGACUACCUAUAGACAGUGAUAUGAUGUGGAUCUGUGUCCCCACCCAAAUCUCAUGUUGAAAUGUAAUCCCCCUGUGCUGGAGGUGGGAUCUGGUGGGAGGUGAAAUGGGGGCGGUUUCUCAAGAAUGGUUUAGCUCCAUUUCUCUGCUGCUGUAUUCAUGAUAGUAAGUGAGUGAGUUGUCACAAGAUCUGAUUGUGUAAAAGUGUGUGGCACCUCCCCCUUCUCUCUUGCUCCUUCUCGGCCAUGUAAGACCUGCCUGCUUCCCCUUCACCUUCCACCAUGAUUGUAAAUUUCAU
rnacentral:lncRNA from 10 species